UACGUAGGGGGCAAGCGUUGUCCGGAAUCAUUGGGCGUAAAGCGCGUGUAGGCGGCUUGGUAAGUCCGCUCUGAAAGCCCGGGGCUCAACCCCGGGGCGAGCGGGUGGAUACUGUCAAGCUCGAGUCCGGAAGAGGCGAGUGGAAUUCCUGGUGUAGCGGUGAAAUGCGCAGAUAUCAGGAGGAACACCAAUGGCGAAGGCAGCUCGCUGGGACGUGGACUGACGCUGAGACGCGAAAGCGUGGGGAGCAAACAGG
rnacentral:rRNA from 1 species